AAAUUUUCAAAUGUGUUAAUGUUAUGUACAAUUUCUCUUGGUUACUUACUAGAGAUGUUGCAACAAAAUCAACAACGAAUGGUUCUCUAAAUUUCUUCUUGUAGUUUCUAUCAUUAUGAACUUUUAUACAACAGAUCUACAAAUAUUUUUGAUUUUUGGUUAGGUUUGUAUGUGUUUUUUUGCAAGAAUAAUGUUUCAAGACAUAA
rnacentral:lncRNA from 1 species